GUCGCGUCAGGCAAAGCGGAUGCGAUCGCUUUCGGCCGUCACUUUAUUUCCAAUCCGGAUCUGCCAUCCCGGCUCAAGCGCAAGUCGCCGCUCACGCCCUACAAUCGGGCCACGUUCUAUGGCGGGGCUGAGGCGGGAUACACCGNNNNNNNAGAGCGCGUGAAGCGCGGUGACACUUACGGAUCGAGUUCGGUGUCCCAGUAGAGAUAGUCGAGCCAGCUCUGGUGCAGGUAGUUCGGCGGGAAUAGCCGGCCGUUGCGAUGAAGCU
rnacentral:misc_RNA from 1 species